UGGGGAAUAUUGGACAAUGGGCGAAAGCCUGAUCCAGCCAUGCCGCGUGUGUGAAGAAGGUCUUCGGAUUGUAAAGCACUUUAAGUUGGGAGGAAGGGCAGUAAAUUAAUACUUUGCUGUUUUGACGUUACCGACAGAAUAAGCACCGGCUAACUCUGUGCCAGCAGCCGCGGUAAUACAGAGGGUGCAAGCGUUAAUCGGAAUUACUGGGCGUAAAGCGCGCGUAGGUGGUUCGUUAAGUUGGAUGUGAAAUCCCCGGGCUCAACCUGGGAACUGCAUUCAAAACUGACGAGCUAGAGUAUGGUAGAGGGUGGUGGAAUUUCCUGUGUAGCGUGAAAUGCGUAGAUAUAGGAAGGAACACCAGUGGCGAAGGCGACCACCUGGACUGAUACUGACACUGAGGUGCGAAAGCGUGGGGAGCAAAACAGGAUUAGAUAGCCCUGGUAGUCCACGCC
rnacentral:rRNA from 1 species